AGCUUUGCGCAGUGGCAGUAUCGUAGCCAAUGAGGUUUAUCCGAGGCACGAUUAUUACUAAUUGAAAAAAAUGACAAAAUCAU
rnacentral:snRNA from 1 species